rnacentral:rRNA from 1 species
CCCAUAGCGCAAGCUAGUAAGAUCCCUGAAAGAUGAUCAGGUUGAUAGGUCAGAGGUGGAAGCGUGGCGACAUGUGGAGCUGACUGAUACUAAUCGAUCGAGGACUUAACCACA